rnacentral:rRNA from 1 species
GCUUGUCUCAAAGAUUAAGCCAUGCAUGUCUAAGUAUAAAUGGUAUACAGUGAAACUGCGAAUGGCUCAUUAAAACAGUUAUAGUUUAUUUGGUAAUCGAAUUUACAUGGAUAACCGUGGUAAUUCUAGAGCUAAUACAUGCUGUAAAGCCCGACUUCUCGGAAGGGCCGUAUUUAUUAGAUAAAAGGCCGACCGAGCUUUGCUCGACCCGCGGUGAAUCAUGAUAUCUUCACGAAGCGCAGGGCCUUGCGCCGGCGCUGUUCCAUUCAAAUUUCUGCCCUAUCAACUUUCGAUGGUAG